rnacentral:lncRNA from 1 species
AUCACAGUCAUCCCCAGUAAGAAUAAUAACAUCCACAUAAACUACCACAAUCGCAAGGGACCCAGGUGUAGGGAAAGGUAGCCAACCUGGGAUACGUUGCGGCAAGGCCUUUGAUGAACAGGGAAUAAUCAUUCAAAGAAUGCCUAUAGCCUCUGGAGUAUAGGGGCAGAAGACAACUUGGCAUACCAUUGUCUGGAAGCCUGUCUGAGCCCAUAUAGGGAUUUGUUUAACUUGCAAACAAGGGGAGCAGGAGAGGCAGAGGGGGCAGAAACAGAGGCAGGAGUAGAAACAGUUAAACCUGGAGGAAGUUUCAUAUACACCUCCUCCUCAUCCACCUCCUCCUCAUCCAAAUCACCAUGCAAGAAAGCAUUAUUAACAUCAAGUUGAAAUAAAUUCCAAUGAUUUUUCACAGCCACAACAAUAAGACACUUGACAGUGCACAUAUUAACCACAGGGGAAAAGGUGUCAGUGAAGUCAAUACCUUCAAAUUGAGUAUCACCUCUAAUAACAAGUCUGGCUUUAUACUUUUCAACACAGCCAUCAGCCUUGUACUUUAUUUUAUAAACCCUUUUACAACUAAUGGGUUUCUUACCAGGAGGAAGAGGGACAACAUCCCAAGUAUGGUUAGUGUCCAAAGCAUCAAACUCCUAUCUCAUGGCAUCCUGCCAUGCUGGAACAGAUGCAGCUUGAGAGUAAUAUAAAGGUUCAGAUUCUGAAUUAGAAGAAGAGGAGCCAGAAAAGGCAGGGAGUUGCAGAUAUAAUCCUUAAGAUAGGGAGGAUGAUUAUGCUGUCUAGUGGAUUUUCUAGGAGCAGGACACAGAUGCAGCCUGAGAGUAAUAUAGAGGCUCAGAUUCCAAAGAGGAGGAAGAUAAACCAGAGAAGGCAGGUAGUUGAAAGACAUAAUCCUUAAGAUAGGAAGGAGGAUUAUGCUGUCUUGGAGACUUUCUGGGAGCAGGAAUAGAAGGAGAAGAAGCCAAAACAGGAGG